UGUGUUAAUUCGCCGCUGUGUUUUAAUGUAAAAGGCUGUAGUUUCUGUAUGUAGACUUUUUUCCCUUCAAGUGUUCAGAAGUCUCGCGCUGUCAGACAGGCUGCAGCAAAUAUUUCAUUUUAACACUCACAAACAUCUGAAUUUAGCUCUUGGUGUGUUCUAAUUGGCGGAUUGUGUGCAAUCGCCGUAAUAUUUUAUUUUUAAAAGGUCUUAAACAAGAAUAAACUCGUUUGUUGUGAGCUCGUUGAGACUGCACGCGCUGAUCGGAGCGGUGAUUUAUCUCUCGUCUAUCUGUCUGUUCUCUGGCCAUACAUCAAUUAUUAAUAAGCCCUGACCCGCUAAUAAUAAGAUAUGUUGGUUUAGCUUUAAAAGUGAAACUAAGCGAGACUCCUCCCUCUCAGUCCCGGGAAUUGCUCCUGUAGAGGCGCAUUUUCUCUCAGACAGUGGAAAGUCUCAGCACACAUACAUUCCUCACACAGAGCCAAAAAUCCAUAUUCAAAUCAAAAUAGCCGACUUUCUGUUGGUCGUAGCUAAUGACUGUAAAUUAGAAAGUUGUCCGUCUUAAUAAGAACAAUAUAUGUACCGAGUUUGGUGUCUGUAGCUAAAACUAAGCCCCCCACUUUUGACAAAAGGUGGCGCUAUAGAGUGCCUCCUCCACGCCCUUUUAUGACCUUUUUGCCAGUGUCUAGCUAUCAUUAAUACUGAUAUGUGUUCUGAGUUUCAUGAAAUUCUAAGCAUGUUAUCUGCCUCAAAAAUCAGAAUAUAUUAUACAGAAAAAAAUAUUCCAGUUUGAUAUGUUGCCAUGGCAACACUAUAUUAGAUAUCAAUAUCCCCUCAACAGUUUUACAUGGGCCGUGUUUUGUCAUUAUUCUGAUGAAGUUUGAAGCAAAUUGAGUAAAAAAAUAAGAUGCUGAAUUCAAAGCAUUUUGAAAAAUGACACACUUCCUGCUGCCAGUUGGUGGCGCUAUAAUUUUGACUCCUAAUAGUCACAUAUAUGCGAUCGGCAUCAUACAACGAACAAAUUGAUGAAGUUUAAUUAAAAAUCAGGAAAUGUAUGUGGAUGUUAUUAGACACUUCCUGUUUACUCAUUUCUCGCCAUAAUUUCAACGCCUCGCC
ensembl:lncRNA